AUAUUUUGUUUAAUUUUUUGAAUUAUUAAAAAUCUAUUUUUUUCAGCAUCGAUGAAAUGUCAUCAGAGGAGAGAUAUGCCAUAUUCUAAUAUAAUGAAAACAAAAAUAAAUAAACAAAAAGAAAAAGAAACACUAAAGGACUACCAGGACGUUCGUCGAGCUAUUUCACAGUUUCGUUUAUUGCGACUCUCGCGAUUAUUGCGCCAUCGAUCGGGAGAAUACGGUAAACUCGCGAUUGGCGAGUCGUGAUAAUUACGAAGGAUACGUUUCAGGAAAAAAAAGGGUUGAGUGUGGUUAAGCUCUGGUGAAUGUCGAUGAGUUUUUCGAGAGUUUUGGAGAGAUGAAAUAUUCGAGUGCUUUCCGGAAUUAAGCGCGCUUUCUUUGCGGUCGAUUACAAAGUGUCGAAGUUAGGUUAUGUCGAUUUUGCGUUUCUUAAAGUAGAAUGCUUUUUGCGAGAGCAAACUUCUCGUCGAAUAUUCUUCUCGAAAUUAUUAUAUUCACAAAUUUAUAUUUCAGAAAAAGGGGAAAAGAAAGAAACGCGAGUGUCACGCUUCUCGGAGAGAGUACACUUCCCCCUAAACACAUAGAAAGAUACUCUUGUUCCGCGCCAGGUCAACGACACUUUAACUGAUCUCAAUUCCGUAUAACCGAGAGCUAAUUGUAUCAAAGUGGAAAGGAGGAAACGGCAAAGUGGAAAACGUUUCCACGUAACUCGAUCAACGUCAAGGUGUCCACCCAUGUUACCACGUCUACGACCAGUCUGACCACUUAUCGACAUCUGUAAAUGCACCUUGAACGGGUCCAACGACGACUUUAUCCAUCGUUGUUGAUUCACCGCCAGUUAUCGAUAAAUUAACGCGGCGUAAACUUGACGCCUUAUCGCGCGUUUGGCCACGCCUCUCUCCCUUUCUGUACCGAAAACGGGAGAUCGUGGGAUGGACGUGUGUUGCAAUGCCGAUAACGAUAACGAUGCAUCGCCGACCAUGGUUUGCGGGAAACGAUCGCCCACAGUUUUCGUUUACAAAAUCCAUCGAACACAUCGAAGUAACAUCGAGGUAAACGUUGGCAGAGCCAUCGAUACGAAAGAUGAUUCGGAUGCGGUGCACAGAAGAAACGCUGGCGCUGAAGUUCCGGGUGAAAUGAACGCUUUGCAUGCGCGGUAUCGAGCCUUCCCCAUAAAGCUUAAUUGCGAUUGAAGGUCUUCGGCAUAACCCGGACAUGGAUUAAGGUGCAACCAUAGAAGCAUACACGUUACAAAGUGCCGGUUACCGGUUUCAAGCGUUUAUUAAUGCAAUAACGAUAAACUUGCACCAUAAUUCGCCUCAUUUCAUUUUAAUCUUAAGUCUAGCGUUCUACAUUAUCAUUCGAGAACACGUAGAAGCAAAGGGUCCUUUAAAACGCGAUCCCAUCGAAAUAAAGCGUUUCAAAUACGAUUGUUAUAUAAUUAAUGUAAUAUUACAUAACAAUCAAAUUACACAAUAUAUAAUAUUACAAUACAAUACAAUAAUGUAAAUAAUUUUAACCUUACCUCAAAUACAUUGAUAAAUUAAUUUUGAUCUUGAAUUUCAAAAAUUUUUUUAUUAUAUUUCAUUCGAUCUGCAGAAUCGAUCUUCGAAAAACGACUCUAUCGAAAUAUUUUUUUUCAAAAGAUUCGAUCGUCAAGAUUUGACUUUUAAAACUGCAAAAAUAUCCCGUUAACCUUUCAGAUUAUUAAAUUCCUUCGUCGACGAGGAAACUUAAUGUCCCUCGAGUUAUCUCGUUGAAUCACGAGUCAAGCUCACUUUGAACGCGAGGGAAGAUGCACAAAGGUGCCGAAACCGUUUUUUUCCCACCCUCUGGCGAAUGAGUUUAGAAAGGGUUAACGCGCUCCUGGCCAUUCGAGUAUAUAGGGUGGAAGGAACCACAAUUUCGCCAACAAUGCGGGUUAGCUUCAUCGGCGCGUCACUAUAUGAAGAUUCUUUAGGGGGGGAGGAGCGUUUAGAAGGAGACGUUUGAAUUACUGGCUAUGUAAUCGCGCUAAAAUAUGGCGGACGGAGAAGUGUAUUAGGAGAUGAUAAUGAUUGAUGAUAAUUCAAUCUUAUCAUCGAAUAAUUUCCAUAACGUAGUCGUAUUUUAUUUUAUUUUUCGAUCUUUGAAUUUAAUUUAAUUAAUUUUACGAUCGAACAGUUUCUUCUGAAUUUAAGUGAAAUUAUCAUACGUUUUGAAUCGCAAGAAACAAUAUUUCGUUAUAUUUUAUAUUUUUAAAAAUUUUUAAGUAUUGUUUUAGUGA